AGAGUUUGAUCAUGGCUCAGAACGUACGCUGGCGGCACGCCUAACACAUGCAAGUCGAACGAAGUAGCAAUACUUAGUGGCAGACGGGUGAGUAACAUGUGGGUAUCUGCCCUUUGGCCUGGAAUAACACGAGGAAACUUGUGCUAAUACCGGAUAAGUCUUUACGGAGAAAGCUUUAUGCACCAUUGGAUGAGCCCGCACUUGAUUAGUUUGUUGGUGGGGUAAUGGCCUACCAAGACUGUGAUCAAUAGCUGAUUUGAGAGGAUGAUCAGCCACAUUGGGACUGAGACACGGCCCAAACUCCUACGGGAGGCAGCAGUGGGGAAUCUUGCACAAUGGAGGAAACUCUGAUGCAGCGAUGCCGCGUGAGUGAAGAAGGCCCUUGGGUUGUAAAGCUCUUUCGUCGGGGAAGAAAAUGACUGUACCCGAAUAAGAAGGUCCGGCUAACUUCGUGCCAGCAGCCGCGGUAAUACGAAGGGACCUAGCGUAGUUCGGAAUUACUGGGCUUAAAGAGUUCGUAGGUGGUUGAAAAAGUUGGUGGUGAAAUCCCAGAGCUUAACUCUGGAACUGCCAUCAAAACUUUUCAGCUAGAGUAUGAUAGAGGAAAGCAGAAUUUCUAGUGUAGAGGUGAAAUUCGUAGAUAUUAGAAAGAAUACCAAUUGCGAAGGCAGCUUUCUGGAUCAUUACUGACACUGAGGAACGAAAGCAUGGGUAGCGAAGAGGAUUAGAUACCCUCGUAGUCCAUGCCGUAAACGAUGUGUGUUAGACGUUGGAAAUUUAUUUUCAGUGUCGCAGCGAAAGCGAUAAACACACCGCCUGGGGAGUACGACCGCAAGGUUAAAACUCAAAUGAAUUGACGGGGACCCGCACAAGUAGUGGAGCAUGUGGUUUAAUUCGAAGAUACGCGCAGAACCUUACCAACACUUGACAUGUUCGUCGCGACUCUAAGAGAUUAGAGUUUUCGGUUCGGCCGGACGAAACACAGGUGCUGCAUGGCUGUCGUCAGCUCGUGUCGUGAGAUGUUGGGUUAAGUCCCGCAACGAGCGCAACCCUCACUUUUAGUUGCCAUCAUUAAGUUGGGCACUCUGAAAGAACUGCCAGUGAUAAGCUGGAGGAAGGUGGGGAUGACGUCAAGUCCUCAUGGCCCUUACGUGUUGGGCUACACACGUGCUACAAUGGUAUCUACAACAGGAAGCAAGACUGCGAAGUUAAGCAAAUCCCUAAAAGAUACCUCAGUUCGGAUUGCACUCUGCAACUCGAGUGCAUGAAGCUGGAAUUACUAGUAAUCGUGGAUCAGCGUGCCACGGUGAAUGCGUUCCCGGGUCUUGUACACACCGCCCGUCACACCAUGGGAGUUGGUUCUACCUUAAGGCAAGGUUUCAAACCCUUGACCACGGUAUAGUCAGCGACUGGGGUGAAGUCAUAACAAGGUAACCGUA
rnacentral:rRNA from 1 species